GCUUAACACAUGCAAGUCGAACGGUGAAGCCAAGCUUGCUUGGUGGAUCAGUGGCGAACGGGUGAGUAACACGUGAGCAACCUGCCCCAGUCUCUGGGAUAACAGUUGGAAACAGCUGCUAAUACCGGAUAUGAACCGCGACCGCAUGGUCAGUGGUUGGAAAGAUUUUUCGGUCUGGGAUGGGCUCGCGGCCUAUCAGCUUGUUGGUGAGGUAAUGGCUCACCAAGGCGUCGACGGGUAGCCGGCCUGAGAGGGUGACCGGCCACACUGGGACUGAGACACGGCCCAGACUCCUACGGGAGGCAGCAGUGGGGAAUAUUGCACAAUGGGCGAAAGCCUGAUGCAGCAACGCCGCGUGAGGGAUGACGGCCUUCGGGUUGUAAACCUCUUUUAGCAGGGAAGAAGCGAAAGUGACGGUACCUGCAGAAAAAGCGCCGGCUAACUACGUGCCAGCAGCCGCGGUAAUACGUAGGGCGCAAGCGUUAUCCGGAAUUAUUGGGCGUAAAGAGCUCGUAGGCGGUUUGUCGCGUCUGCUGUGAAAUCCCGAGGCUCAACCUCGGGCCUGCAGUGGGUACGGGCAGACUAGAGUGCGGUAGGGGAGAUUGGAAUUCCUGGUGUAGCGGUGGAAUGCGCAGAUAUCAGGAGGAACACCGAUGGCGAAGGCAGAUCUCUGGGCCGUAACUGACGCUGAGGAGCGAAAGGGUGGGGAGCAAACAGGCUUAGAUACCCUGGUAGUCCACCCCGUAAACGUUGGGAACUAGUUGUGGGGUCCAUUCC
rnacentral:rRNA from 1 species